CCUACGGGAGGCAGCAGUGGGGAAUAUUGCACAAUGGGCGAAAGCCUGAUGCAGCCAUGCCACGUGUGUGAAGAAGGCCUUCGGGUUGUAAAGCACUUUCAGCGAGGAGGAAGCGAUAAAUGCGAAUACCAUUUAUUUUUGACGUUACUCGCAGAAGAAGCACCGGCUAACUCCGUGCCAGCAGCCGCGGUAAUACGGAGGGUGCGAGCGUUAAUCGGAAUAACUGGGCGUAAAGGGCAUGUAGGCGGUGAGUUAAGUCAGAUGUGAAAUCCCCGAGCUCAACUUGGGAAUGGCAUUUGAAACUGGGUCGCUAGAGUUUUCUAGAGGGGGGUAGAAUUCCAGGUGUAGCGGUGAAAUGCGUAGAUAUCUGGAGGAAUACCGGUGGCGAAGGCGGCCCCCUGGAGAAAGACUGACGCUGAGGUGCGAAAGCGUGGGGAGCAAACAGGAUUAGAUACCCCAGUAGUC
rnacentral:rRNA from 1 species